GGAUCGACGAUGACUCCCACAAAUGCAUUCCUUGGAAAUCUGAACAAAAUGACUGAGAAAACCCUAAGCCUACCAUCUUCUCAUUGGAACUGAGGUCC
rnacentral:snoRNA from 1 species